rnacentral:lncRNA from 1 species
UUAUCCCGUUUUAUGCUAGAAUCACCUGUCUUUUGUUUCCCUUUUCGUUUCAGGUCAUUUUCGAAGGACACUAUCAGUAAUCGAGGGAAAUACGUGUGAUUACGGAGUAAAAUCCAUCAAAUUGGGCGAGAACAAGCACCCUGAGGGUUGAGCACGGCCUGGACUUCGGCCGUGCUGAAUUAUCAAGAGGCUAUCCCCAAUUGUGCCAUUUCAGCACGACUUCCGUAGUCACCACGGCCUCCAGCACGGCCUGUGGUGGAUCAGCACCGGCUUGGGCACGGCCUGUGGUGGCACAGCACAACAGACUCCACAGAUUCAGCACAGCCUGGACUCCGGCCGUGCUGAAUCAACUAUAUAGGCGAUUUUGAAUUCUAAUUGAAGAGGACGAUUUUUGGACUCAAUUCCAAGACACACACUUAAUCAAAUAUUUCCUAUACCUCAAUUGUAGACCUGGAGAGAUCAAUUUUCAUCAAUUGAAGGGGGGAUUCCACUAAUUCCAACAUCGAAUUGAAGAUCAAGACAAACUUUGGGAGCAUUCAAGAGGCAACUAGGGUUUGAGAUUUUGAAUUUGCAAAUUUAGGGUUUCUCAUUCAGCUUGAAAGAGAAGGGUGUACAUACCUUUAAUUUAUUUUUCCUUAUUUUGUUCUUUAAUUGCUUUGACUAUGAACAUGAGCAGCUAGAUCUUUUGAAUCCAUUAGGGUUCACCUUUGUUGAUGGAUUAUGCUUAAUUGUUAGUUUUUUAUAAUUAUCAUUCUUGCAAUCUUCUUGCUAUUCAGUAAUAAAAGUUUGAUGCAGUUAAUUUGAGA